AGAGAGUGCAAGCGUUAAUCGGAAUUACUGGGCGUAAAGCGCGCGUAGGUGGAUAUUUAAGUCGGAUGUGAAAGCCCUGGGCUCAACCUAGGAACUGCAUUCGAUACUGGAUAUCUAGAGUAUAGUAGAGGGAAGUGGAAUUUCAGGUGUAGCGGUGAAAUGCGUAGAUAUCUGAAAGAACACCAGUGGCGAAGGCGGCUUCCUGGACUAAUACUGACACUGAGGUGCGAAAGCGUGGGGGGAGCAAACAGGAUUAGAGACCCUGGUAGUCCACGCCGUCAACGAUGAGAACUAGCUGUUGGGAGGGUUACCUCUUAGUAGCGAAGCUAACGCGUUAAGUUCUCCGCCUGGGAUACGGCCGCAAGGUUA
rnacentral:rRNA from 1 species